GGCAUGGCAGGGAGAUUGGUACUAGAUGACGUGGAGCUGCGGGAGGCCCAGCGAGAUUACCUGGACUUCCUGGAUGAUGAGGAAGACCAGGGAAUUUACCAGAGCAAAGUGCGAGACAUGAUCAGUGACAGCCAGUACCGGCUGAUUUUCAGUGUGAACGACCUGCGCAGGAAGAAUGAAAAGCGAGCCAACCGCCUCCUGAGCAACGCAUUUGAGGAGCUGGUUGCCUUCCAGUGGGCCUUAAAGGAUUUCGUGGCCUCCACUGAUGCUACCUAUGCCAAGCAGUAUGAGGAGUUCUACAUAGGAUUGGAGGGCAGCUUUGGCUCCAAGCACGUGUCUCCCUGGACUCUUACCUCCUGCUUCCUCAGCUGUGUCGUGUGUGUGGAGGGCAUUUUCACUAAAUGCUCCUUGGUGCGUACCAAAGUUGUCCGCAGUGUCCACUACUGUCCUACUACCAAGAAGACCAUAGAGCAACGUUAUUCUGAUCUCACUAGCCUGGUGGCCUUUCCCUCCAGCUCUGUGUACCCUACCAAGGAUGAGGAGAACAACCCCCUCGAGACAGAAUACAGCCUUUCUGCCUACAAGGACCACCAGACCAUCACCAUCCAGGAGAUGCCAGAGAAGGCCCCCGCCGGCCAGCUGCCCCGCUCUGUGGAUGUCAUUCUGGGCGAUGACUUGGUGGAUAAAGUGAAGCCUGGUGACCGAGUCCAGGUGGUGGGGACCUACUGCUGCCUUCCUGAAAAGAAAGGCGGCUACACCUCAGGGACCUUCAGGACUGUCCUGAUUGCCUGUAACGUGAAGCAAAUGAGCAAGGACAUGCAGCCUGCCUUCUCUGCAGAGGAUAUCGCCAAGAUCAAGAAGUUCAGUAAAACUCGCCAAAGGACAUCUUCGACCAGCUGGCCAGGUCACUGGCCCCUAGCAUCCACGGGCAUGACUACGUCAAGAAGGCCAUCCUCUGUCUGCCGCUGGGCGGUGUGGAGCGCGACCUGGAGAAUGGCAGCCACAUCCGUGGGGACAUCAAUAUUCUUCUGAUAGGAGACCCGUCUGUCGCCAAGUCUCAACUUCUGCGCUACGUGCUGUGCACAGCACCCGGCGCCAUUCCCACCACUGGCCAGGGCUCCUCGGGCGUGGGCCUCACAGCUGCUGUCACCACAGACCAGGAAACGGGAGAGCGGCGCCUCGAGGCAGGGGCCAUGGUUCUGGCCGACAGGGGGGUGGUGUGCAUCGAUGAAUUUGACAAGAUGUCUGACAUGGACCGCACAGCCAUCCACGAGGUCAUGGAGCAGGGGCGCGUGACCGUCGCCAAGGCUGGCAUCCACGCGCGGCUGAAUGCCCGCUGCAGUGUCCUGGCAGCGGCCAACCCUGUCUACGGCAGGUAUGAUCAGUACAAGACCCCCAUGGAGAACAUCGGGCUGCAGGACUCCCUGCUGUCCCGGUUCGACCUGCUCUUCAUCGUGCUGGAUCAGAUGGACCCCGAGCAGGACCGGGAAAUCUCAGACCACGUCCUGAGGAUGCACCGCUACAGAGCGCCCGGGGAGCAGGACGGUGACGCUAUGCCCUUGGGGAGCGCUGCUGAUGUCCUGGCCACAGAUGACCCCAACUUUAGCCAGGAUGACCAGCAGGACACUCAGAUUUACGAGAAGCAUGACAACCUUCUGCAUGGGCCCAAGAAGAAAAAGGAGAAGAUGGUGAGCUCAGCAUUCAUGAAGAAGUACAUCCAUGUGGCCAGAAUCCUCAAGCCUGUCCUGACCCAGGAGUCAGCCGCCUACAUUACCGAGGAGUACUUCCGCCUGCGCAGCCAGGACAGGAUGAGCUCGGACACGGCGCGGACGUCCCCUGUUACAGCACGUACCCUGGAAAUUCUGAUCCGGCUGUCCACGGCCCAUGCCAAGGCUCGCAUGAGCAAGACGGUGGACCUGCAGGACACGGAGGAAGCCGUGGAGCUGGUGCAGUACGCCUAUUUCAAGAAGGUUCUGGAGAAGGAGAAGAAACGUAAGAAGCGAAGUGAGGAUGAAUCAGAGACAGGAUGAAGAAGAGAAAAGCCAGGAGGAGCCUGAGCAGAAGAGGAAGAGGAGGAAGACUCGCCAGCCGGCUGCCAAAGAUGGGGACACGUAUGACCCCUAUGACUUCAGUGACACCGAGGAGGAAAUGCCCCAAGUUCAUACCCCGAAGGCUGCAGACUCACAGGAGACCCAGGAAUCCCAGAAGGUGGAGCUCAGCGAGUCCAGGUUGAAGGCCUUCAAGGUGGCCCUCCUGAGCAUGUUCCGGGAGGCUCACGCACAGUCCGUGGGUCUCACUCACCUCACGGCAUCCGUCAACCGGGACAAGGAGGAGCCCUUCUCUGCGGAGGAGAUCCAGGCCACACUGGACAGGAUGCAGGACGACAACCAGGUCAUGCUGUCGGAGGGCAUCGUCUUCCUCCUCUGAGUUCUCACCGCCGCCCUCCCGCCCUCCUGCCCUCCUCCGCCCAUCUUUCCCCAGGCACCAGAGGUGGAUCAGGACUUGGUGGCAGCUUUGGGGUGGGGGCAGUGCUGUCGGGAAGGACCAGGCCCUGCCGCGCCACUGCAGGAGGACCAGAUCACAGCCAGGCCCUGUCCCACACAGCCAGCCAGUGUCACUCAUGUGAUGUGACUUGAGUCGGGCUUUGGUGUGGAGGGUUUGUGUUGAUCUUUUCUGCGUUGGCUGUUUUUUUUCUCCUGAGCACUUUUUUCUGGAAAAGGCGCUGAGUUUUGUGCUGUAGAGAGUGGCACCAAGG